UACGAAGGGGGCUAGCGUUGUUCGGAUUCAUUGGGCGUAAAGGGUGCGUAGGCGGCGCGGUAAGUCGGGUGUGAAAUCUCGGAGCUUAACUCCGAAACUGCAUUCGAUACUGCCGUGCUUGAGGACUGGAGAGGAGACUGGAAUUUACGGUGUAGCGGUGAAAUGCGUAGAUAUCUGGAGGAACACCGGUGGCGAAGGCGGCUCACUGGACCGGUACUGACGCUGAGACGCGAAAGCCAGGGGAGCAAACGGG
rnacentral:rRNA from 1 species